rnacentral:rRNA from 1 species
UACGUAGGGGGCAAGCGUUGUCCGGAAUCACUGGGCGUAAAGGGCGCGUAGGCGGCUGGCUCAGUCGGGCCUGUAAGUGCGGGGCUCAACCCCGUGAUGGGCUCGGGACGGGCUGGCUGGGGCGCGGUCGAGGGAGACGGAAUGCCGGGUGUAGUGGUGAAAUGCGUAGAGAUCCGGCGGAACACCGGUGGUGAAGACGGUCUCCUGGGCCGAGGGCCGACGCUGAGGCGCGAAGGCGUGGGGAGCGAACGGG